GAUGAACGCUAGCUACAGGCUUAACACAUGCAAGUCGAGGGGCAGCGCAGUGUAGCAAUACAUGGGCGGCGACCGGCGCACGGGUGCGUAACGCGUAUCCAACCUUCCCGUUACUCUUGGAUAGCCUUCCGAAAGGGAGAUUAAUACAAGAUGGUAUUCAAAUUCCGCAUGUUAUUUGAAUUAAAGAUUUAUCGGUAACGGAUGGGGAUGCGUGGCAUUAGGUAGUAGGCGGGGUAACGGCCCACCUAGCCGACGAUGCCUAGGGGUUCUGAGAGGAAGGUCCCCCACACUGGAACUGAGACACGGUCCAGACUCCUACGGGAGGCAGCAGUGAGGAAUAUUGGUCAAUGGACGAGAGUCUGAACCAGCCAAGUAGCGUGCAGGACGACGGCCCUCUGGGUUGUAAACUGCUUUUAGUUGGGAAUAAAAAGAGGGACGUGUCCCUUAUUGUAUGUACCAUCAGAAAAAGGACCGGCUAAUUCCGUGCCAGCAGCCGCGGU
rnacentral:rRNA from 1 species